GCCCUAAUAGUAUAUGCAUUACCUUGGUCUUGUAAACCAAAAAUGAAGUUAUAAACUUCUUAGAGCAAUAUA
rnacentral:tRNA from 1 species